GUGCUCUGUUUUAGUUUAUAAUAAUUGGUUUCUAAGAAGGUAGGCAUUUGUGGAGGCAAUGAUGUCACUGUGGGAACUGCCAUGAGAGGACAGGGACGUCCCUCCUCCUCUGCUCCUGUUCGCAGUGACCCUGAUUGGGCAAAACUCCUAUCCUGCCCUGAGCCUGCCAUGGGCACCAGACUCCUCUGCUGGGCGGCCCUCUGUCUUCUGGGAGCAGAACUCACAGAAGCUGGAGUUGCCCAGUCCCCCAGAUAUAAGGUUAUAGAGAAAAGCCAGGCUGUGACUUUUUGGUGCAAUCCUAUAUCUGGCCAUGCUACCCUUUACUGGUACCAGCAGAUCCUGGGACAGGGCCCGGAGCUUCUGGUUCAGUUUCGCAAUAACGAUGUAGUAGAUGAUUCACAGUUGCCUAAGGAUCGAUUUUCUGCAGAGAGGCUCAAAGGAGUAAACUCCACUCUCAAGAUCCAGCCUGCAGAGCUUGGGGACUCGGCCGUGUAUCUCUGUGCCAGCAGCUUAGCCACAGCGAUGCAGAGACACUUCCCUCCUGUGCAGAAAACUGCACGCUCUCUCCUCUCUAUCAGCUCACAGCAGCCUUUCCUUAUUCCUCAUCCUCCCAGGGAAGAAGCGAGUUUUCAGAUAUAG